CGACCCCAGGUCAGGCGGGACUACCCGCUGAAUUUAAGCAUAUCAAUAAGCGGAGGAAGAGAAACUUACAAGGAUUCCCUUAGUAACGGCGAGCGAACCGGGAAGAGCCCAGCUUGUAAAUCGGGCAGCUAUGCUGUUUGAAUUGUAGUCUGGAGAAGCGUCCUUAGCGACGGACCGGGCCCAAGUCCCCUGGAAAGGGGCGCCGGAGAGGGUGAGAGCCCCGUUGUGUCCGGACCCUGUUGCACCACGAGGCGCUGUCGACGAGUCGGGUUGUUUGGGAAUGCAGCCCCAAUCGGGCGGUAAAUUCCGUCCAAGGCUAAAUACGGGUGAGAGACCGAUAGCAAACAAGUACCGUGAGGGAAAGUUG
rnacentral:rRNA from 1 species